rnacentral:rRNA from 1 species
AUUGAACGCUGGCGGCAGGCUUAACAUAUGCAAGUCGAGCGGGGUGAUGGUGCUUGCACUAUCACUUAGCGGCGGACGGGUGAGUAAUGCUUAGGAAUCUGCCUAUUAGUGGGGGACAACAUCUCGAAAGGGACGCUAAUACCGCAUACGUCCUACGGGAGAAAGCAGGGGAUCACUUGUGACCUUGCGCUAAUAGAUGAGCCUAAGUCGGAUUAGCUAGUUGGUGGGGUAAAGGCCUACCAAGGCGACGAUCUGUAGCGGGUCUGAGAGGAUGAUCCGCCACACUGGGACUGGGACACGGCCCAGACUCCUACGGGAGGCGGCAGUGGGGAAUAUUGGACAAUGGGGGGAACCCUGAUCCAGCCAUGCCGCGUGUGUGAAGAAGGCCUUAUGGUUGUAAAGCACUUUAAGCGAGGAGGAGGCUCUUUUGGUUAAUACCCAAGAUGAGUGGACGUUACUCGCAGAAUAAGCACCGGCUAACUCUGUGCCAGCAGCCGCGGUAA